rnacentral:rRNA from 1 species
UACGGAGGGUGCAAGCGUUAAUCGGAAUUACUGGGCGUAAAGCGCGCGUAGGCGGCUGGGUAAGUCGAUUGUGAAAUCCCCGGGCUCAACCUGGGAAUUGCAGUCGAGACUGCCCGGCUAGAGUGUGGGAGAGGGUGGUGGAAUUCCCGGUGUAGCGGUGAAAUGCGUAGAUAUCAGGAGGAACACCUGUGGCGAAAGCGGCGCACUGGACCACAACUGACGCUGAGGCGCGAAAGCUAGGGGAGCAAACAAG